rnacentral:rRNA from 1 species
UACGUAGGGUGCGAGCGUUAAUCGGAAUUACUGGGCGUAAAGCGUGCGCAGGCGGUCCUGCAAGACAGGUGUGAAAUCCCCGGGCUUAACCUGGGAACUGCACUUGUGACUGCAAGGCUGGAGUGCGGCAGAGGGGGAUGGAAUUCCGCGUGUAGCAGUGAAAUGCGUAGAUAUGCGGAGGAACACCGAUGGCGAAGGCAAUCCCCUGGGCCUGCACUGACGCUCAUGCACGAAAGCGUGGGGAGCAAACAGG